GGCUGGGGGCGAGGGGUGCGUGGAACUUUUGGUGGCAAACAAGCUCCUGUGACUGUCUUUCAGGAGAAUGAAGAGGGAAAAGAACUGAAGAACAGUUUGUUGACUGAGGAGCUGAAGUAUUAAGUACAGAGACACAUAUAUAUUUAAAGACCCUGUGGAAAAAAGUUAAUGAACAAAAAAGAAUUGGAAGAAGGUACUGCCUCCAGUGAACCAAUUUAAAUAAGAUUCCCUGGGUAUCGAAGCCGUGAGAACACGGGAAUAUAUUGAGAAGGACAUUUUCCUACUUUGAAAGGAGUCGGUGACCGAAAGGUAUUAGUGAAAUUAAUUCUAUGGUCACUAACAGGCUUCAGAGACAUUGUGUCCACAUUUUCUUGAAGGGACACUGAAGGAGUCUCAGUGUGUAAACAUCCAUCCACGUCCAAAACUGUCUCCGCAUCUGAUGCCACGUGCUUAUGCUGGUGAGGAGACUGUGCCUCCUUGCACAGGGUCAGUCAGGUCAAAACCACCUUUGUGGGCAUUUGCAUCAUGAAAAUGAACAGAGCUGAGGGUCUUCACCGGAACAUACUUUCUUGCAUUUUCCUUUAAGAGAGAAUCAGUAACAGAGCAAUACUAGUGUGGCAUACGUCGCUGUUUGGAGUCUUGUCUUCAAAAUGUUUUCCAGCAUCAAACACAACAAUCUAUGAGAAACCACAUGGUGAGUAAGAGCAGCACACUCACGGCUCUGAAGAGCACAGCACAAGGCUGCAAUAAAGACCCACGUAUGUUCUCAACCUGCAGUGUGCUCAGUGCCUGCACAUCACAACUCAGGUGAUGAAGGGAUGGCAGUUUUACAUGAAUUAAUCAGUUUCCUUCUUAACCCCAUGCCAUUUCCCUCACCUGACCCACCCAAGAAAACACCCUUAAAAGGCUUCUCUCACACUGCUUACACAUAUUAAGCUUCUCGCCAAUUGCCUGCACGUGCUCGGAGAAGCUUGCAAUACCGUUAGUGUGUUAAUACUCACACAGCUGGACCUCAGCAACACAAGGCUUACUAGAAAGCGAAGACAAUAGCAAAGCUGGGCCCAGCAGCCGUUCCCUAAGGAACUCUUCGCCCCUUACACUGGAGCAAUUGAUCUCUCUGCUCCUCAACCAGGAACCGUAGAGCCCUACAGGGCACACAGCCAGUUACUAAGGACUCAGGGCCUGGAAUGAAGUGUAGUAUUUUCCUCCAAGAGCUUGUAUCUGCUAUAAACCAGUUUAAUUCUGCUAUAAACAAGUAGACUUCUAACUAAUAUUAAUAUAAACAAGCACUUUUUUUUCAGAGACAGGGUCUCACUCUGUCACCCAGGCUGGAGU
rnacentral:lncRNA from 1 species